rnacentral:rRNA from 1 species
AUGCGAUAAGUAGUGUGAAUUGCAGAAUUCCGUGAAUCAUCGAAUCUUUGAACGCACAUUGCGCCUCCUGGCAUUCCGGGAGGCAUGCCUGUUCGAGCGUCAUCAAAACCCAUCAAGUUUUGGAUUUAUCCAUUGCUUGGCAUUGGAGUUGGAGUGUACAUCUGGCAUUCCUCUCCGAAAAUCAAUGGCAACACUCUCUGUACCAAUUAGCGUAAUAAUCAACAUUGUGUUUCGCUGUUGGAUGGAUGAUGUUCUGCCCUUCAACCCCCAAUCUCGUAUGUUUUGACCUCGAAUCAGGUAGGGAUACCCGCUGAACUUAA